GGCCUGACCAGCACAAAGAGACAGACAGCACAGCUCCUGGAUUCUGGGCCUUUUGCAGUGGACUCAUUACAACCCUGUCUUUCCUGAGCUUCUGGCUCAGAGGUAAUGGACUAUGGAACACUCCAGCCUCCAUAAUUAUUGACACCCUCAUCCCAGUGACAUCACGAGGAGGGAAAUCCAAUCUUAUUCUGCAGCCCAGAGCUCAGCAGCUCAGUGGAAUGAGAUGACAUGGACGAACUGGAGCAAUUUAAAAAGAAUAAAGCACCCUCCACCCCCUGCAAUACAUCUCUGUACCUCACCAUGAAGGAACUAUUCAUUUAGGGGGUGAGGCUAUCCCAGGAACAGAAGUGACCAUCCUGAAGGACCUGGAUCAUUUCCUGAAGUGAUGAGAGGAGCUGGGGACUGAACACAGGGCCUUGUGCUUGCUAGGCAAGCGCUCUACCACUGAGCUAAAUCCCCAACCCCCAUGACCUGAGUUUAAGCCCCAGAUUUCAUAUUGUAAAAAUAGAGAACUGACUCCUUAAAGUUGUCCCCUGAUCACUACUUGUAUGUGGGCUCACACACACACACACACACACACACACACACACACACUCCAUUGAAAAAAUUAAGUAAUAAUAAAGAACCUUUUCACAUCAAUUAUUUUAGAAACUACAUAAAAUGGUAGUUAUUGACAAGUUGUGAAAAGUUUUGAUUUUAACAUGAGUUGGUACAGGUUGAGUUGUGUCCCUCUCAGAAAAGAUACAUCAGCCAAGUUCCACAGAGUGUGACCUUUGUUCGGAGAGGAGAGAACAACUUUACAGAGGUAAUCAGGCUAAACUGAGGUCAUAAAGGUGAACUCUCACCAUCUGAGACUUAGAGUGUCUCUGGGGGAAUUACUUUGAUGAGUUAAUUAAAAGGCCCCAAUUUGCCACCUGGCACAUGCUUAGUAGCUAUUGGUUACCUCUUGCCUUCCUGAGGGAUCCUUCAACCAUUGUCUCUGUGUCCUAACUCUGGGGCCUCUGAUUCACCUCUGUUGACAACUGGUUAAAAGGCUGUGGACGCUUGGGCUGGAAGAAUAGAUAAGUAAAGUACUUGUGGGGACAAGUGGGGACCAGACUCUGAUCAUUAGAACUCGUAGGAGAAAAGCCAGACUCAGUGACACAUUUGUAAUCCCAGUGCUAGGGACAGAAAUGGGCAGAUCCCUGAUACUUACUGGCCAGAUGACCAACCUAUUCUUCUUGAGUUCCAGGCUAGUGAGAGGCCUCGUCUCAAAAAGAGGAAGAUGUCACCCAAGAAACAGAUAUCCAAAGAUGUUCUCUGGCCUCCACUUCCUCACAAAUAUAUAUGCACCCUCCCUACAAACAUGCACACACGCACGCACAUACACAUGCACAUAUGCAUGCACAGAUAGAGAGAGAGAAAGAUAGAGAUAGAUGUUUUGGAUUCCCACAAUCUUUUUCGCAUUGCA